CUUUGCACGGUCAAAAUACCGCGGCUCUUUAAAAAUACGCUCAGUGAGCAGGCCAGACCUCAAAAUAUAAACAAGAGGACAUGUUUUUGAUAAACAGGCGGAAAUCAAUUUUGCCUAGUUCCUUAUAAUAAGUUCACAAGGUAAAAAUUUCAUACAAAUAAAUAUACUAAUUCUAUCAUUAUUACAAAAAUUUUAAAAUUAAAUUAAUAAUCUUAAUAAAAAACCUAAAAUAUUUAUAAAAUCAAAAUAAAAAAUAAUGAACUAAAACGUAAUCUUAAAGAUAGCUGGUUUAAAGCUUACUAUUAUAUUUCUAUAAAAUAAAUUAUAGGUUAUUAACUUCAAAGCUUAUCCCUUAAAGAAUAAAUAAGUUAAUAUUUUUACUUAAAAAAUUAAAUAAAAACAAAUAACUUUAAAAAAUUAAAUUUUUUCUUAAGAAACUAGAUAUCUUGGGAAACGAUUAACAUCUCAUUUCUAUAAAUAAUUUAAUAAUAAUUAUGAUACAUUAACUAUAAAUUAUUUAUAAAUCAACCCAAAUCGAGACAAGUAAAAUAAAUACUAAAAUUUUGAUAAACCCUGAUACAAAAGGUACAAUAAAUAAAAUCUACUUAAAAAAAUUUAAAAUAAUAUUUCAUAAAACACUUACAUUAC